AGAAGGGAACAGGAAACAGCAGUAGGACUGCUAGCUAUGGACCUCUCUCAGCCCAGUGAGAACUGGCACCCUAUAUCCAGAUGCUGCUGAACUUUGAGGAAGUUUGAAAGUGAAUCUGAACUCCACAGUUGGACCCACCUCUGACUGAAACCCACAUCUUCAGUCAUUUCUUCUGACUGCUGUAAUGAUGAUGGUGGUGGAUUUCUUUGCCGUUUGAAUUUGCUGUAGAGGAAGAGACAACCACUCACCUAUGUCAAAUAUUAACUGAGGAG